rnacentral:misc_RNA from 1 species
UGAAGCCCCUACUUGAAUAUGAGGUGAAGUAUUUUGAUGUCAAAACAUGUCCACAAGAUGCAUGUUUCAAUGUUUUUCAAUGCUUUCUUUUCUUCUCCCUAUAUAUUGAUCUUAAGAAUAUGAUGCUUGGGUCAAUGCCUUACUUGCCAUUGAGAUGAUAACCAACUGCUUCCAAAACUAUUGUAUUACUCUUCCUUUUUUCUACCUUAAUGCAACUAUUUUGAAUUCCAAAAUA